GUGAACGCUGGCGGUAGGCCUAACACCUGCCAGUCGAACGGCAGCACAGCAAGAGCUUGCUCUUACGGGUGGCGAGUGGCGGACGGGUGAGGAAUACAUCGGAAUCUACUUUUUCGUGGGGGAUAACGUAGGGAAACUUACGCUAAUACCGCAUACGACCUACGGGUGAAAGCAGGGGAUCUUCGGACCUUGCGCGAUUGAAUGAGCCGAUGUCGGAUUAGCUAGUUGGCGGGGUAAAGGCCCACCAAGGCGACGAUCCGUAGCUGGUCUGAGAGGAUGAUCAGCCACACUGGAACUGAGACACGGUCCAGACUCCUACGGGAGGCAGCAGUGGGGAAUAUUGGACAAUGGGCGCAAGCCUGAUCCAGCCAUACCGCGUGGGUGAAGAAGGCCUUCGGGUUGUAAAGCCCUUUUGUUGGGAAAGAAAAGCAGCAGGUUAAUACCCCGCUGUUCUGACGGUACCCAAAGAAUAAGCACCGGCUAACUUCGUG
rnacentral:rRNA from 1 species